GUUAUAUGGUCAAGUGAAGAAGCGCAUACGGUGGAUGCCUUGGCAGUCAGAGGCGAUGAAAGACGUGGUAGCCUGCGAAAAGCUUCGGGGAGUCGGCAAACAGACUUUGAUCCGGAGAUCUCUGAAUGGGGGAACCCACCUAGGAUAACCUAGGUAUCUUGUACUGAAUCCAUAGGUGCAAGAGGCGAACCAGGGGAACUGAAACAUCUAAGUACCCUGAGGAAAAGAAAUCAACCGAGAUUCCCUUAGUAGUGGCGAGCGAACGGGGAUUAGCCCUUAAGCUUCAUUGAUUUUAGCGGAACGCUCUGGAAAGUGCGGCCAUAGUGGGUGAUAGCCCCGUACGCGAAAGGAUCUUUGAAGUGAAAUCGAGUAGGACGGAGCACGAGAAACUUUGUCUGAACAUGGGGGGACCAUCCUCCAAGGCUAAAUACUACUGACUGACCGAUAGUGAACCAGUACCGUGAGGGAAAGGCGAAAAGAACCCCGGAGAGGGGAGUGAAAUAGAACCUGAAACCGUAUGCGUACAAGCAGUGGGAGCCUACUUGUUAGGUGACUGCGUACCUUUUGUAUAAUGGGUCAGCGACUUAUAUUCAGUGGCAAGCUUAACCGUAUAGGGUAGGCGUAGCGAAAGCGAGUCUUAAUAGGGCGUUUAGUCGCUGGGUAUAGACCCGAAACCGGGCGAUCUAUCCAUGAGCAGGUUGAAGGUUAGGUAACACUGACUGGAGGACCGAACCCACUCCCGUUGAAAAGGUAGGGGAUGACUUGUGGAUCGGAGUGAAAGGCUAAUCAAGCUCGGAGAUAGCUGGUUCUCCUCGAAAGCUAUUUAGGUAGCGCCUCAUGUAUCACUCUGGGGGGUAGAGCACUGUUUCGGCUAGGGGGUCAUCCCGACUUACCAAACCGAUGCAAACUCCGAAUACCCAGAAGUGCCGAGCAUGGGAGACACACGGCGGGUGCUAACGUCCGUCGUGAAAAGGGAAACAACCCAGACCGCCAGCUAAGGUCCCAAAGUUGUGGUUAAGUGGUAAACGAUGUGGGAAGGCUUAGACAGCUAGGAGGUUGGCUUAGAAGCAGCCAUCCUUUAAAGAAAGCGUAAUAGCUCACUAGUCGAGUCGGCCUGCGCGGAAGAUGUAACGGGGCUCAAACCACACACCGAAGCUGCGGGUGUCACGUAAGUGACGCGGUAGAGGAGCGUUCUGUAAGCCUGUGAAGGUGAGUUGAGAAGCUUGCUGGAGGUAUCAGAAGUGCGAAUGCUGACAUGAGUAACGACAAUGGGUGUGAAAAACACCCACGCCGAAAGACCAAGGGUUCCUGCGCAACGUUAAUCGACGCAGGGUUAGUCGGUUCCUAAGGCGAGGCUGAAAAGCGUAGUCGAUGGGAAACAGGUUAAUAUUCCUGUACUUCUGGUUACUGCGAUGGAGGGACGGAGAAGGCUAGGCCAGCUUGGCGUUGGUUGUCCAAGUUUAAGGUGGUAGGCUGAAAUCUUAGGUAAAUCCGGGGUUUCAAGGCCGAGAGCUGAUGACGAGUCGUCUUUUAGAUGACGAAGUGGUUGAUGCCAUGCUUCCAAGAAAAGCUUCUAAGCUUCAGGUAACCAGGAACCGUACCCCAAACCGACACAGGUGGUCGGGUAGAGAAUACCAAGGCGCUUGAGAGAACUCGGGUGAAGGAACUAGGCAAAAUGGCACCGUAACUUCGGGAGAAGGUGCGCCGGCUAGGGUGAAGGAUUUACUCCGUAAGCUCUGGCUGGUCGAAGAUACCAGGCCGCUGCGACUGUUUAUUAAAAACACAGCACUCUGCAAACACGAAAGUGGACGUAUAGGGUGUGACGCCUGCCCGGUGCCGGAAGGUUAAUUGAUGGGGUUAGCGCAAGCGAAGCUCUUGAUCGAAGCCCCGGUAAACGGCGGCCGUAACUAUAACGGUCCUAAGGUAGCGAAAUUCCUUGUCGGGUAAGUUCCGACCUGCACGAAUGGCGUAACGAUGGCGGCGCUGUCUCCACCCGAGACUCAGUGAAAUUGAAAUCGCUGUGAAGAUGCAGUGUAUCCGCGGCUAGACGGARAGACCCCGUGAACCUUUACUGUAGCUUUGCACUGGACUUUGAGCCUGCUUGUGUAGGAUAGGUGGGAGGCUUUGAAGCGUGGACGCCAGUUCGCGUGGAGCCAUCCUUGAAAUACCACCCUGGCAUGCUUGAGGUUCUAACUCUGGUCCGUAAUCCGGAUCGAGGACAGUGUAUGGUGGGCAGUUUGACUGGGGCGGUCUCCUCCUAAAGAGUAACGGAGGAGUACGAAGGUGCGCUCAGACCGGUCGGAAAUCGGUCGCAGAGUAUAAAGGCAAAAGCGCGCUUGACUGCGAGACAGACACGUCGAGCAGGUACGAAAGUAGGUCUUAGUGAUCCGGUGGUUCUGUAUGGAAGGGCCAUCGCUCAACGGAUAAAAGGUACUCCGGGGAUAACAGGCUGAUACCGCCCAAGAGUUCAUAUCGACGGCGGUGUUUGGCACCUCGAUGUCGGCUCAUCACAUCCUGGGGCUGAAGCCGGUCCCAAGGGUAUGGCUGUUCGCCAUUUAAAGUGGUACGCGAGCUGGGUUUAGAACGUCGUGAGACAGUUCGGUCCCUAUCUGCCGUGGACGUUUGAGAUUUGAGAGGGGCUGCUCCUAGUACGAGAGGACCGGAGUGGACGAACCUCUGGUGUUCCGGUUGUCACGCCAGUGGCAUUGCCGGGUAGCUAUGUUCGGAAAAGAUAACCGCUGAAAGCAUCUAAGCGGGAAACUUGCCUCAAGAUGAGAUCUCACUGGGAACUUGAUUCCCCUGAAGGGCCGUCGAAGACUACGACGUUGAUAGGCUGGGUGUGUAAGCGUUGUGAGGCGUUGAGCUAACCAGUACUAAUUGCCCGUGAGGCUUGACCAUAUAACACCCAAACA
rnacentral:rRNA from 1 species